AAGAUGUAUAGCAUGGUCCUUGCUGCUGAUAAAAACAAAAGUGAAUAUCUUCAGAAAUAUCAGCAUCUGUCCAGACAACGUUUUUAGUUUGUUAUCUAUCAUUAGAUUCCAUCGUUACACUAAUUGGACAUGUCUUGUAUGGGUCUAUUAAUAUGCAAACCUAGGCCUAUAGCCUACCUGAAGUUAUACCAUCUAGAUCAAUAUGAUUUGACAAAAUAAAGUGCUUCAAUGCACGUUUUAUUUCCUGUUGCACAACUGCAACAGUAAGGGCAACAGGUUUUUUUGUGUUCAUUUUUAAGGCACACUCAAAAAAUGUUUCUGGGUCCUGGUAAAUAUUAAGAAAUAUGUAUACAUACAAUAUUAUUAUAAAAUGGAAAAAUGAUUCAUUGAAAUCAUAUAAACACCAUUUGAACUGUCGGCGUAUGAACUUUUAAACAAAUAAUCUAAACAAAUAAUGUAUGCACUUGAAAAAAGCUCAUAAUAUUAACUGACAUGCACAUCACACUCCAGAACAGUAGGUGGCAGUAAGAAAUGAAUCGCCUAUUGUCGAAACACAUUUUCAUUGACAGUAUUUAUCUUCUUCCUGCUGGCACCAAGUUGUUACCUUAUUGGUACAGAAAUAUUUUACAUAAAUCAAAACUAUAUAUGUGAAAUUCAUGCUGUAAUUCAGGUGGGAUAACAAACAAAAACAAAAAAACACCAAAGAGUAAAACCGGAAAUGGAAUUACGUCACUUCCUGUUCGUCAGUUGGUCUCCUGCUUUGAAAUUGAGGCAAUCGUUUUCAGCCGGGUAAGUUUCACAAUCCGUUUCAAUCCUUGUCAUCUUUGGCAAUAUGCUUGUAUUAAGACACUAUUACGGUCAUUUGUGAAGUAUACUACGCUAUUGUGAUGUUUUUGGCAUUUUUGUCUGUAUGGAAAGUUAACCGAUACGAUUGUUAGAUCAUGCUGUGUGAUCUGACAAGCUGUUUGUCUUGCAUUCAAAUAUCCACUCUUAAACAGUAGCUUAUCUUGUGCAACAUCUUUAGGUGUAAAAAAAGUUACCUUAAGGUUUAUCCAGUCUGAAGUGUAAAUUACCAGCAUAAUUAUUUUAAACAUAGUUUAACACCUGCUGCUGUUUAGCUUAGCAGCUAGCUAUUGCUCUCUAGCUUGCUAUUGCCCUGUAAUGCCCCACAUGUUACUCAAAAUAUGUAUCUUAUUUUUUGUAAUGGGCGUCACUAUUGGCCAGUCCUGAAUAUCACCUUUGAAAAGCCAUGUUUGCCGAUAUUGUGAGAAAAGGUUCACCUCUGUUUUUCAACUUGACAGAUGGUUGCCCCCUGUGCGAGUGGAAGAUGUGACUUUGAAGACAGUCAUUGUAAAAGGUGCAAAAGGCUUGUCUAAGAUAAGCUGGCAGUCUACACCGCAUGGCCUGCGUUGCUGACAUUGAGUGAAGUUAAUGCAGAGUUCCUGUGCCUGACAGAUACUUGAGGAAGCAUCUUGGAGGUUCUCAAGGAGAAGGGAGGCGUUGCCAGAAGGAAGGACUAGAGUGGCGAAGUGAUCCAAAGGCAGACUGCACAUCUACGUAUAUGGUUUGCAAGGAACAUCCCGUGCCAGAGACUGUGAUACAAGGCAUGGAGCUGUACAGUGAACUCGGAGCAUCUCUUGUGCAUGUGUGAUGCUCUUUGGACUCGGUUACCGGUAUAUACCCUCAAUCUCAACUCUGUGGAUUUGGAUUUACAAUUUUAAGUAUCCAGAUGAAC